UCGGGGUGUUCCUGACCCUAAGAUCAGAAUAUAUGAUGUAGGCAUGAAAAAGAAGGGUGUGGAUGAGUUCCCCUUCUGUGUUCAUCUUGUUAGCUGGGAGAAAGAGAAUGUGUCCAGUGAAGCCCUUGAAGCUGCCAGGAUUGCAUGCAACAAAUACAUGACCAAGUUUGCUGGAAAGGAUGCUUUCCACCUCAGGGUGAGAGUCCACCCCUUCCAUGUCCUGCGCAUAAACAAGAUGUUGUCAUGCGCCGGAGCAGAUAGGCUCCAAACUGGUAUGCGGGGGGCCUUUGGAAAGCCCCAAGGGACUUGUGCAAGGGUUAACAUUGGGCAGGUGUUGCUGUCUGUUAGAUGCAAGGAUGGAAAUGGGAACCAUGCACAGGAGGCGCUGAGGAGGGCCAAAUUCAAGUUUCCAGGCAGGCAAAAGAUUAUCGU
rnacentral:lncRNA from 1 species